rnacentral:hammerhead_ribozyme from 1 species
AUCCAACUGACGUGUCGCAAAUGGGACGAAACAUACGUCAAACUAGAU